AGCGAACGCUGGCGGCAGGCCUAACACAUGCAAGCCGAACGAACUCUUCGGAGUUAGUGGCGGACGGGUGAGUAACACGUGGGAACGUGCCUUUAGGUUCGGAAUAACUCAGGGAAACUUGUGCUAAUACCGAAUGUGCCCUUCGGGGGAAAGAUUUAUCGCCUUUAGAGCGGCCGCGUCUGAUUAGCUAGUUGGUGAGGUAAUGGCUCACCAAGGCUACGAUCAGUAGCUGGUCUGAGAGGAUGACCAGCCACAUUGGGACUGAGACACGGCCCAAACUCCUACGGGAGGCAGCAGUGGGGAAUCUUGCGCAAUGGGCGAAAGCCUGACGCAGCCAUGCCGCGUGGAUGAUGAAGGUCUUAGGAUUGUAAAAUCCUUUCACCGGUGAAGAUAAUGACUGUAGCCGGAGAAGAAGCCCCGGCUAACUUCGUGCCAGCCGCCGCAGUAAAAC
rnacentral:rRNA from 1 species